UGUACAUAUAUAGUAAUAAAAACACACUACCGAGGUCUGGUUGCUUAUAAUGUUUGACAAUGAAUAGCAAUGAGGUUUAAGUGAGAGUGAAUCUCUCCUUGAACAGACUGUAAGCGUUUCAUCCUUCCUUAUACUUGGUACAUAAAUAUGGUGUUAACCUUCUUAGGAAAACAGAGAAGGUCAUGAUCUUUGGUUAUUUUUCCUCACAAAUAUGCUUCCUUGAACAGAGCUUCCUUCAUUGCUUGUGUUUUCUAUCGCAUUAAAAGUAACCUGUCACACUUGAGUAAUUAAUAUGGUCAGUAGUAACUUUGUACUCCAGCAUUUGCUUCCAUCGACUAUGAGCUUCUGCGUUAUCUUAUAAAUUCACCUAUCAAUGUUUUGUUGGCUGAAACUUCUAAAUUCUUUUGCAGGCAAAGCAAUAGCUCAUUUUAUCUAUGGCGACCUUGGCACUGAAUUAACAUGUGCCAAGUUCUGCUCUCUAAAUGGCUUCUUGCAUUUUGUUACCACUUUGAUGGACCUUUAUACACGUGGAAAAAAUAGGUGGUAUUCUAGAGAUAAUAUUUCGGUGUAUGAACUUUAUCCUUUUUUUAGGUAUUUCAGUUUGAUCAUAUACCGCAGGGCACUGAUAUUGUUGCAUACUCCCUCCGGUCUCUUUUAAUUGACUCGGAUUUAGUACAACUUUGUACUAAAUUUGAGUCAAUUAAAAAGGGCCGGAGUGAGUACUUGUUAAUGUCGAUUUGUAUUAUUCAACAAGUAUGUGCUCCUGUUUAUUCUACUGCAUUCUUUAAUUUUCUUUAUGGCGACGGAGUUGGCGAUGGGGAGAAGAUGCACAAGGAGGAUGGCACGCAGGGGGUGUGCUCUUCCUGGCUGGGAGGAGAUGACGUGAUUGAUGUAUUCUGCUUUGGAUCUGCUUUGAAUUUGUAUAAUUGAUUCAAUGAAUUGUUCACAUAGGCUAAUGCGUUUUCUCUGGUUGUAGUGCAGGCUCAGUGUGAGAUUUGGACUGAGAUUGAGACUGAGAGGUGCUAUUUGCUUAGUUAUUGGAUGGAAACCUGAGGUCUUUGUGCACUUCAUUAUGGAUAAACCAAUUUGUUGUAUAUACAAUAUUUUUGGCUGGAUAUAUACGCAUAGGUCUGACUGCAAACAUGUUUCUUGCUACUGUUGGGAAGUCUGGGAAUGACCUGCUAUUGAAUUAUGUAGGGUGCCAAUUAGUAGUGAGUUUCUUUAUUUUUCUGGGAAUGACAUGAUGCAAUUUUCCGAGCAGCAAUCUUGGGAUAUCGGCAGGUUUGACAAGACUUUAUUUAUCUUCAAAGGGCCUCCGAAUCCUCUCAAGUUCUUUACUAACUUCAUCUUUUCGUGUUUUGUUAAUAUGCUUUCUUCAGGCUUGGUUCCCAUUUAGUUCUUGUCUUCUUGCUUUAAGUGUUACCGUAAAAAAAGGUCUUGUUCUUUCAGCACGGAUAUGUUAUUUUUGCUAUAUUCUAAAGCUAAUAUUAUCCUUCAAUCUGUAAUGAAGGUCUAUUCCGAGUUAUCUUUUCUGCAUCUUUGGUAAGUAUGCUUACUCAAAAUGGGAGCCUUAUUUCAGCAAUAGUGACAUGCUAUGCGGUUGCCCUUUAUUUCUAUACUCCCAGCGGCAAGUGUUCGUUAGCCGUUGGAUGGCGUUUUAUGGUUAUUUGUCAUACAUACAUGCAUGUUGUGGCUACCUCAUUUGUGAUAUUGUUUCCAUGUACUGAAAGUGGAUAUGCAUCAAUAACGAAUCUUUGUUUCUUGCCUCUUUGUUUGCCUUGCAUUGAUGGAGAUCUUGAUAUGAUAUUUUCCUUCUGUUUUACUGUCAAGAGAUGUGCACGGAUGAACCUUCAUCACACCUAUCCGCUUGACCAGGAAAGGAAUUGGACAGGUUUGCUGCAAUCUCAGUGUCCCGGCUAGCUGCCGAAGGUUUAGAGUACAAGACGGUUGUCAGCCAAUCAGCAGGCCUCUCCACCCUCUAGGUGAUUUACUAAUUCAUAGGCUCAUUUUAAGCGAUUUAUAUUUGUAAUUACCAUUUAUGUAAUUUAUUUGGAUUUUCCCCUCUGAGAUACUAUUGUCUUGUUCAUAUGCAAUUAUUGUAUUGAAAUAUUUUGCCAUGGAAUAUUUUCUCAUUAUUACUUGUUUACUUACUCUAGCUUUGCAGGUUUUUUUCACUAAUAUCAAGAUAAAGAAUUUGUCUGGCAUGGUCGCUUUAAUACGAAAGAUCGUGUUAAUUUGGUCGAUGCACAAUUGCAGAAGAUAAAUAAUUUUUCUGGCAUGUUAGCUUCAAUAAUAAGGAAUUUGAUAGAAGCUAUAUUGCUGAAGAUGCCUACGGUUCAGCAGCUUAUGAUGAUUUACCUUCAGCAGCUUAUGAUGUCUAUG